rnacentral:rRNA from 1 species
CACAAACAGCUAGGAUGUUGGCUUAGAAGCAGCCAUACAUUUAAAGAGUGCGUAAUAGCUCACUAGUCGAGUGAUCCUGCGCCGAAGAUAAACGGGGCUCAAACUUACCACCGAAGCUUUGGAAUUAGUAUAACUAAUUGGUAGAGGAGCAUUCUAUACAGGUAGAAGGAGGCGCGUAAGCAAAUCUGGACGGUAUAGAAGAGAGAAUGUUGGCAUGAGUAGCGUAAGGCGGGUGAGAAUCCCGUCCGCCGAAAAUCUAAGGUUUCCUGAGGAAGGUUCGUCCUCUCAGGGUAAGUCGGGACCUAAGCCGAGAGCGAACGCUGUAGGCGAUGGACAACAGGUUGAUAUUCCUGUACCACCAAGGAUUGUUUGAAUGAAGUGGGGACACAGAAGGAUAGAUUGAGCACGCCGUUGGUUGAGCGUGUCCAAGCAGCAAGGCUUGAAAGUAGGCAAAUCCGCUUUCUAUAAGGCUGAGCUGUGAUGGGGUGGUCGAAUGACCGGUAGCAAUCGAUUUCACGCUGUCAAGAAAAGCCGCUAAUGAGAUCCAAGGUGCCCGUACCGCAAACCGACACAGGUAGAUGAGGAGAGAAUCCUAAGGUGAGCGAGAGAACUAUUGUUAAGGAACUCGGCAAAAUAACCCCGUAACUUCGGGAGAAGGGGUGCCUGCUUCGGCAGGCCGCAGUGAAGAGGUCCAGGCAACUGUUUACCAAAAACACAGGUCUCUGCUAAAGCGAAAGCUGAUGUAUAGGGGCUGACGCCUGCCCGGUGCUGGAAGGUUAAGGGGAAGUGUUAGGGCAACCGAAGCACAGAACUUAAGCCCCAGUAAACGGCGGCCGUAACUAUAACGGUCCUAAGGUAGCGAAAUUCCUUGUCGGGUAAGUUCCGACCCGCACGAAAGGCGUAAUGAUCUGGGCACUGUCUCAACAAUAGACUCGGUGAAAUUGUAGUACCGGUAAAGAUGCCGGUUACCCGCAGCAGGACGGAAAGACCCCGUGGAGCUUCACUGUAGCUUGAUAUUGAUUUUCGGCAUUGCAUGUACAGGAUAGGUGGGAGACGUUGAGUUCAGCACGCCAGUGUUGGAGGAGUCACCGUUGGGAUACCACCCUUGUAAUGUUGGAAAUCUAACCUAGUACCGUGAUCCGGUACAGGGACAGUGUCAGGUGGGCAGUUUGACUGGGGCGGUCGCCUCCUAAAGAGUAACGGAGGCGCCCAAAGGUUCCCUCAGCGCGGACGGAAAUCGCGCGAAGAGUGCAAAGGCAAAAGGGAGCUUGACUGCGAGACAUACAGGUCGAGCAGGGACGAAAGUCGGGCUUAGUGAUCCGGUGGUUCCGAGUGGAAGGGCCAUCGCUCAACGGAUAAAAGCUACCCCGGGGAUAACAGGCUUAUACCCCCCAAGAGUUCACAUCGACGGGGGUGUUUGGCACCUCGAUGUCGGCUCGUCUCAUCCUGGGGCUGGAGUAGGUCCCAAGGGUUGGGCUGUUCGCCCAUUAAAGAGGUACGCGAGCUGGGUUCAGAACGUCGUGAGACAGUUCGGUCCCUAUCCGCUGUGGGCGUUGGAAAUUUGAGAGGAGCUAUCCUUAGUACGAGAGGACCGGGAUGGACAUACCUCUGGUGUACCGGUUGUUCUGCCAAGGGCAUAGCCGGGUAGCUACGUAUGGAAGGGAUAAGCGCUGAAAGCAUCUAAGUGCGAAGCCCACCUCAAGAUAAGAUUUCCUCCGAAAGGUAAGACCCGUGAGAGACUAUCACGUUGAUAGGUCAGAGGUGUAAGUACGGUAACGUAUUCAGCUGACUGAUACUAAUAGGUCGAACACUUGACCAA